rnacentral:rRNA from 1 species
GAUGAACGCUGGCGGCGUGCCUAAUACAUGCAAGUCGAGCGAACAGACGAGGAGCUUGCUCCUCUGACGUUAGCGGCGGACGGGUGAGUAACACGUGGAUAACCUACCUAUAAGACUGGGAUAACUUCGGGAAACCGGAGCUAAUACCGGAUAAUAUAUUGAACCGCAUGGUUCAAUAGUGAAAGACGGUUUUGCUGUCACUUAUAGAUGGAUCCGCGCCGCAUUAGCUAGUUGGUAAGGUAACGGCUUACCAAGGCAACGAUGCGUAGCCGACCUGAGAGAGUGAUCGGCCACACGGGAACGGAGACACCGUCAAGACUCCUGCGGGAGGCAGCAGUAGGGAAUCUUCCGCAGUGGGCGAAAGCCUGACGGAGCAACGCCGCGUGAGUGAUGACGGUCUUCGGAUCGUAAAACUCUGUUAUUAGGGAAGAACAAAUGUGUAAGUAACUAUGCACGUCUUGACGGUACCUAAUCAGAAAGCCACGGCUAACUACGUG